GCAGUCGUACGAGGGUAACACAAGAGCUUGCUCUUGUGGAUCAGUGGCGAACGGGUGAGUAACACGUGAGCAACCUGCCCCUGACUCUGGGAUAAGCGCUGGAAACGGCGUCUAAUACUGGAUAUGUGACGUGACCGCAUGGUCUGCGUUUGGAAAGAUUUUUCGGUUGGGGAUGGGCUCGCGGCCUAUCAGCUUGUUGGUGAGGUAAUGGCUCACCAAGGCGUCGACGGGUAGCCGGCCUGAGAGGGUGACCGGCCACACUGGGACUGAGACACGGCCCAGACUCCUACGGGAGGCAGCAGUGGGGAAUAUUGCACAAUGGGCGAAAGCCUGAUGCAGCAACGCCGCGUGAGGGAUGACGGCCUUCGGGUUGUAAACCUCUUUUAGCAGGGAAGAAGCGAAAGUGACGGUACCUGCAGAAAAAGCGCCGGCUAACUACGUGCCAGCAGCCGCGGUAAUACGUAGGGCGCAAGCGUUAUCCGGAAUUAUUGGGCGUAAAGAGCUCGUAGGCGGUUUGUCGCGUCUGCUGUGAAAUCCCGAGGCUCAACCUCGGGCCUGCAGUGGGUACGGGCAGACUAGAGUGCGGUAGGGGAGAUUGGAAUUCCUGGUGUAGCGGUGGAAUGCGCAGAUAUCAGGAGGAACACCGAUGGCGAAGGCAGAUCUCUGGGCCGUAACUGACGCUGAGGAGCGAAAGGGUGGGGAGCAAACAGGCUUAGAUACCCUGGUAGUCCACCCCGUAAACGUUGGGAACUAGUUGUGGGGUCCAUUCCACGGAUUCCGUGACGCAGCUAACGCAUUAAGUUCCCCGCCUGGGGAGUACGGCCGCAAGGCUAAAACUCAAAGGAAUUGACGGGGACCCGCACAAGCGGCGGAGCAUGCGGAUUAAUUCGAUGCAACGCGAAGAACCUUACCAAGGCUUGACAUAUACGAGAACGGGCCAGAAAUGGUCAACUCUUUGGACACUCGUAAACAGGUGGUGCAUGGUUGUCGUCAGCUCGUGUCGUGAGAUGUUGGGUUAAGUCCCGCAACGAGCGCAACCCUCGUUCUAUGUUGCCAGCACGUAAUGGUGGGAACUCAUGGGAUACUGCCGGGGUCAACUCGGAGGAAGGUGGGGAUGACGUCAAAUCAUCAUGCCCCUUAUGUCUUGGGCUUCACGCAUGCUACAAUGGCCGGUACAAAGGGCUGCAAUACCGUGAGGUGGAGCGAAUCCCAAAAAGCCGGUCCCAGUUCGGAUUGAGGUCUGCAACUCGACCUCAUGAAGUCGGAGUCGCUAGUAAUCGCAGAUCAGCAACGCUGCGGUGAAUACGUUCCCGGGUCUUGUACACACCGCCCGUCAAGUCAUGAAAGUCGGUAACACCUGAAGCCUGC
rnacentral:rRNA from 1 species